CCUGCUAACGUGCGUACUGGGUUCAUUGUGACAUUAUCGUUCGUAUUAUGUUAUGGAUGCGGUGAUGGAGUGUACGUGCACGCGUUCUUGAACAUGCAUAGCUAGUCUAGUCGUUUUCAAUAGAAGGAGCACCUAGUUUUGAAGUGUUCAUUGCGUCACUACGGAAGCCGAGUGUCACGUAAUUUGGAUACAAAGAACAAGUUUCGGAAUGUAUUUCACAUGAUUUAUUUGAAUUUCUUUUUAUCCACUGACGAAGGUUCUGUUUGUCGACUUUGUAUUUUGUUGCCACGCAUUGUUCAGAGAUGAUGCUCUACCUUCCUUCACAAUAUUCAAUUUUUCAGAUCUCUUUUUCUCUUCGUAGACAGUUCUUGGCAAAUGGCAAACUAAACAAUGAGUGUGAACAAUGUCGGAUACCAGUCUUCGGCUCCAAGGCAUGGGUUACUGUUCAAACAUGGGUUACUAUCAUUUCAAACUGAUCUGAUCCUUCAGUUAUAUUCGAGUACAGUUUAUUAUUCAAGGAAAUAUGAAAGUGUGAAGAAAGAAUGAAGACGAUAAAGCAGCAAUGAUGUAUACUGGGUUUAUUUAUGUAUUUUCAAUAGUGUAGUACAGUACUGUGCAGAUAUAACACUACAUCAGAGGUUUCACUGAUCAACUAUUUAUAUAUAUAUAAUAACAGUAUUUGCCGAGCGUAGUUAAUUACUGUUUCUUUUUACGUUUGUUCUUUUUAUCUGAGACUACUGUAUGUACAGUAUUUUAGCCUGGGGCCACAAUUUGACCCAUCACCAUGGAAGGUGUAGGUCCUUGGAUUCCUAAACAAUUGCUAACGCACAAGCUGCACUUACGAUGUAGACCGCUUUCCUUCUCCACGGGCAGCGAAUUUUUUGCCUCCGUGAAUGCAGCUAUACGUCAUCUCGUAGUAUGUAAUUGCGUCAGAAAGGGGACGAUUGAUUCGCUUCCGGGCAGCCUCAACACUUCUCGAGUCUCUUCUCCAUAAUUUUGUAUAUGUUUAUGACUCAUACACCGACAAUCGCUCUUGUAGGUCGGCGAAUAAGUUCAAUCUUUUCCCAACAGAAAAGAAUGCGGAAUCAGUCGGACUUCCCGCCAUUCGUCGCUUCUAAUUAG